UCUGGGAUAAGCACUGGAAACGGUGUCUAAUACCGGAUACGAACUUCAGCCGCAUGGCUAGGAGUUGGAAAGAAUUUCGGUCAAGGAUGGACUCGCGGCCUAUCAGCUAGUUGGUGAGGUAAUGGCCCACCAAGGCGACGACGGGUAGCCGGCCUGAGAGGGUGACCGGCCACACUGGGACUGAGACACGGCCCAGACUCCUACGGGAGGCAGCAGUGGGGAAUAUUGCACAAUGGGCGCAAGCCUGAUGCAGCAACGCCGCGUGAGGGACGACGGCCUUCGGGUUGUAAACCUCUUUUAGUAGGGAAGAAGCGACGUGUUUUACACGGAGUGACGGUACCUGCAGAAAAAGCACCGGCUAACUACGUGCCAGCAGCCGCGGUAAUACGUAGGGUGCAAGCGUUAUCCGGAAUUAUUGGGCGUAAAGAGCUCGUAGGCGGUUUGUCGCGUCUGCUGUGAAAACUGGGGGCUCAACCCCCAGCCUGCAGUGGGUACGG
rnacentral:rRNA from 1 species